rnacentral:lncRNA from 1 species
UGUAUUUCGCAAUCUUGAUAAAGGAUGUGCGAUAAGUUAUUAUGAUUUCCAAUAUUCUGGUGUUGUUGCUGAUCUACAGGCCUAUUGCAAAUUACCAUGGCACAAGUGGAAGGCAACCUUGAAGCAAAAUUAUUUCAACACUCCAUGGGCGUCUAUCUCUGUAAUUGCAGCUGUUAUUCUUCUUCUACUCACAUUCAUACAAACAGUUUGUUCUCUCAUCGCGUUGUAGGUUCACUUUUACAGUUUAUUAUGUAUUAUUUUCUUAGAAGGAUUUCACUUGUAUUACCAGUGAGUGUUUCUGUUUAGCUCAACCACAGUAUGUAUAUAAAAGAAAUAAGAGCAGCUGAUUUCUGUACUUACUUUUUGCUGUUUUCACAAUAAGUCAAGCACAUAAUGAUAAAAAUUUGACAAUUCAAUUAAUUUUGAAGAAAGAAUCAAGUCCUCCACUCGUCCAAUCGUCCACUUGUUAACAAAAAAUAUCUAGAAUUAUAUAUAUCCAGGAAGGGAGGGUAGUUAGGAUAUGUGGUUAACAAAUAGUUAUAUGGUAGUAUAUGGAAAAUGUGGCUAAGAAAUACGAUACGAUAUAUACAUAUAAGCAGUUAGAUUUAUUGGUGAAAAGUAAAAUGCCCUAUAAUUACAUAUAUACUUCGGUGAAAACAAGCAUAAAUAGUCACAUAGACGUAAGGCAACGCAGCAGCAGCACUAAUGCUCUUACCCUGGAAUAGUGAGGCUAUCUUGGCUACCUGAAGAGAGCCAAUGAACUGUGAUGCUCAAAAUCAAUGGAGACAUGACUAGUAAUCUUUUCAGCAGCUCAGAUGGUGCGGCCAUUACUGUGUCAUGGAGUAAGUAGCGCAGGAAUCCGCAAACGAGUAUCACUGCUGCCUUGAGAAGCCAUUGCUCUGUUAUGCCGAUGCUUUGAGGCCUUGAUGAAGCGAUGAGUUAAAGGAAGUGGUUUGGAGCUAAAAGGGAAAGGACUGAAGGGUCUAUCAGGAUCAUAGGGUUUUUGUGUUUGCUUUUGUGGACUUAUGUGAGCGAGUACCGUUACAAGAGACAGAAUUAUUGAGCCUCUGUCAGUAACUUUGUCCCAUAUGUUAACAUUUCUUAACAGAGGCAAUAAUUUACGAAGUGGCAAUUUGAAAUUCAAUAUUUCUCAUCUCAUUUAGAAGAAUCCAACCUGUUGCAAACAAGAUUGACCAUCUAGCUGUCAAAAUUUGAACUUAAGCUGCAACAAACAACCGUUCCCCUCAACCCACCUACACCCCGGCACUUUCUUCAAACCUUUCUGGUUCGUGGCAACCAUCAUCUCAGCUGCAUUAUCCCAAUUACCAGAUAGAGAUGAUACGCUUGGCAGAGUUGAAGGUCCUGUGAUCAUUGUCAGUCCUUUGCAUCUCACAGUUGAAACAUGAACAUAAUUGCUCAUCAUUCGGAUCCUGAGAAUAUGUCAAAGAACGUCCGCGCAUUGCGACUGCGGCAGUAGGAAACGCGACAGCUUCAAAAUUAUUGUAAAAGCGGCACCGAUCGAGGAACAAAAUAGCAACUCCAGAAGAAAGGAUGUUCUGAAGCUUCCACAGCGGUAGGCCUCACGCAGGGGUUCCAGGAACAGAGCCACAAAAUCAAGCUGAUGGCAUCACUGCUAGCUGAUGACACACUCACUCCCCCAAGCUGAUGACACCACCCAUCUGCGGGAAUUUCCAAUUGAGAUUGCUCGCGAGUUGAAUUCCAAGAGGCCAGGAGUUCUUAGUGGGGCUUCCAAUCACUUGGCAGAUUUUGUAAAUUUGAUCAGCUGAGCUUUUCCCUAGAAAGAGAAUCCUGAAACUCAACAUCUCGGGCAUAAUAGCACCCAUCGCCCACAUAUCAACUUCAGGUCCGUAAAUCUCGGAAAAAAGCAACACCUCAGGAGCUCGAUACCAGCGAGUUAUAACAUAAUCAGUGCACGGCAGAUUGGAAUCAAUUUCCUUCACCAUUCCAAGAUCCCCUAUCUUGAUCACACCUUUUGAAACAAGCAAGUUGGAAGGCUUAAGGUCACAGUGAAAAUAAUGUUGAGCGUGGAAUGCGGAAUCAAGCGCACCAAACAAUUAUAGAAAAAUAAAGGACACAAGAAUUACGUGGUUCGGUAAUUAAACCUACAUCCACGGAGGCAAGAAAGAAUAAUUAUUUAUUUAACAAUUAAUAGAGUACAAUAUUUGAGUAACGAAUCUCACUUCUCAGAAACCCAAAUAUACCCAGUACUCUCACACUCUGCAGGAAAGAUAAAUUCCCCAGACACACUUUUCUCACUUCUCUCAAAAGCUUAGAACUUAUAAGCUUAACAAUUUUGGGAUACUAAACAAAUGAAGAAUGCUUAGCUAUUUAUAGGAAAAAUGUUGGCACUAUUCAUGAAACAAAUAUCAAGAAAAAAACUGCGUUCCAAACGCGUCCAAACCGCGUCCACACCACGUUCAAACCGUGUGCAAAAAAUCCACACGGAUUUGACUUGACUUUUCAACAAAUAACCUUGUUGGUGCAUGUAAUGGAGACCUUGAAAAACUUGGAAACACAAGUUUCUGACUUCAUCUUCAGAGAAAUUUUUACCCUCUCUUUCUUUCAUAAGUUUUAGAAGAUCAGAUUCCAUGUAGUCGAACACAAUGAAUACAUCUUCGUGUUUUUUGACAAGAUUCCUCAAUUUGACAAUGUUGGGACGAUUAUUCAUCUUCCUUAAGCAUUUAACUUCUUUCAAGUUCCUGCUCUCGUCCAAAGAAAAAAUCUUCUUCUUCAAUUUCUUGACAGCAACAUAAUCGCCGUUCCAAACGCGUCCAAACCGCGUUCAAACCGUGUGCAAAAAAUCCACACGGAUUUGACUUGACUUUUCAACAAAUCUCCACCUCGGCGAAAAUUUAUCCAAAUUUGAGCCGAUUGACAAUGAUCCUCCAAACUUCAUCCCUCACAUGAUCCUCAAAAGGAUCCACAUUGGCUGCAUCUAUCUAAUUGCCUAAGUACCCAAAGGUUGGGAUCAAGCCUGCCGUAGUUCCUAUUUCCCAAGGAAACACCUCAACAUAAUCGAAUGUUGUUGAUCUUCGCUUAUCUAGGUUUCUAGCGAAAUCAGAAUCACAAUACCCAACACAUUGUUGACCAUAAUCCUUCUUUAACAAUAACCGAACAUCAACUAUCCUAUAGAGAUAUCGGAGAAUCCACUUUACUGUAAGCCAAUGAUUUUUACCCGGUUGUGCACGUAUCUACUAACCAUGCUCACUGCUUGAGAUAUAUCAGGCCUUGUGCAUACCAUAGCAUACAUAAGACUACCCACAUCACUAGCAUAUGGAACACGAGCUAUGUAAUCGCGCUCCUCUUGAGAUCUAGGACAUGAAGAAGAGCUUAAUUUGAAAUGAGGAGCUAGAGGUGUACAUACCGGUUUAGUUUUGUCAUCCAUACCGAAUCUUUCUAGCACUUUAUUCAAAUAAGACUUUUGAGUCAACCAUACGCUCUCAUUCUUCUUGUCUCUACGAAUCUCCAUCCCAAGUAUUCUCUGUGCAUCACCCAAGUCUUUCAUCUCGAACUCAGAAGCCAGCUGCUUCUUUAAUCUUUCGAUCUCAUCUCUAUUCUUUGAAGCUAUAAGCAUAUCGUUGACAUAGAGUAACAAAUAGAUGAAAUCUCCAUCUAGUAGUCUUCUAAAAUAAACACAAUGAUCGUGUUCACUUCUGGUGAAUUUCUGCCCUUGUAUAAAUUGAUCAAAUCUUUUGUACCACUGCCUUGGCGACUGCUUCUGUCUGUAUAAAGAUUUUAAUCAACCUACAUACAUGAUUCUCCUUUCCAGCAACUCUGAAACCACAAGGCUAAGUCAUAUAGAUUUCCUCUUCCAAAUCUCCAAAUAAGAAUGUUGUCUUAACAUCCAAUUGAGCCAACUCUAACUCAUAUUCUGCAACUAAAGCAAGUAGGAUACGAAUGGAAGUAUGUUUUACAACUGGAGAGAAAACUUCAUUGUAGUCAAUACCUUCUUUCUGAGCAAAACCUUUUGCCACAAGCCUUACCUUGUAUCGAGGAGUUGAUUGAUUCAGAGAUUCUUGUUUUUUGGUGUAGACCCAUUUAUUGCCAAUAGCUUUUUUCCCCUUUGGUAACUUUACAAGUUCCCAAGUCUGGUUUUGAUGGAGAGAUUUCAUCUUUUCCUCAAUGGCUAACUUCCACUGAUUACUUUCAUUGCUGCAUAAUGCUUCACCGAAAGUAUUGGGGAUGUCAUCAUCAAUAACUGGAAGUGCAUAGGCUACCACCUUAUCUUUAGUAAGCCAUCUGAGUUUCUUUAUCUCUCUUCUUGGUCUCCUUGUUGCUGUAAAAUCAUCAUUAUGUACAUCAUCAAUUGUUUCUUCAUUUUGUGGGACAGCAGAAGAAACAACCUAUUAUUUGACUCUAGGUGUCACCUCCAUAGUUAAACCAUUAUUUGAUGUAGAAUUAACUGGUACAUAAGGAGUUGCAUCAAACUCCACCCGCUGCAAUACCUCUUUGGUCUUGUUCUCCACCUGCUGAGAAUUUGAAGCUUUUAUCAUUGAAGUUUCAUCAAAUGUGACAUCUCUGCUACACACAAACUUUUUGUCUUUGAGAUCCCAAAGCUUGAAGCCCUUUACUCCACCUUUGAAUCCCACAAAGAUAGUUUUUCUAGCACGAGGAUCCAGUUUACCAUCUUUGACAUGAUAAUAAGCUGGACACCCGAAUAUAUGAAGGGAAUUAUAGUCUUGUGCAUGCUUUCCAAACCACAUUUCCAUAGAAGUUUUACCUCCAAUUGCAACAGAAAGCAACCGAUUUACCAAAUGACUUGCGUAGCUCACAGCUUCAGCCCAAAACUUUUUAUCGAAACCAGCAUUAGAUAACAUACACCGUACCUUCUCCAGUAAAGUACGAUUCAUACGCUCAGCCACACCGUUCUGUUGCGGAGUAUGUCUCAUCGUGAAAUGUCUUUUAAUACCCUCGUUCUGGCAUACUUGCAAGAAUGGAUCAGAAGUAUAUUCACCCCCAUUAUCAGAUCGUAAUACUUUGAUCUUUCUGCCAGUUUGAGUCUCCACCAAUUUCUUCUAUUUCACGAAAAUCUCUAGAACCUCAUCCUUUGCUCGCAUGAUGUACACCUACACACGUCUAGAGAAAUCAUCAAUAAAAGUAAUAAAAUAAUGGCUUCCACCAAUUGAUGCAGUCUUGGUUGGUCCCUAUACAUCACUAUGAACAUAUUCAAGGAUCUCACGAGUAUCGUGAUUAGCUGUACCAAACAUGACCCUUGUUUUCUUGCCUACUACACAAUGCUCACAGAAAUUUAAUUUACAGGUUUUGGUACCUUUUAAGAGUCUGUGCCUUAUCAGAGUUUGUAAAGACUUCUCACCAGCAAGUCCCAGUCGUACAUGCCAUAGCUUGGUGGUGUCACUGUGCGCCUCAACAACAUUUGCUUCAUCAGUUGUACCUCCCUUCAAAUAGUACAGAUUGUGACACUGAACCCCUUGCAGAAUCAUCAUAGCCCCAUGUGUAAACUUCAUUAUACCAUCUUCAAUGGUAACCUUGUAGCCUUUAGCUUCCAAAGCACCCACAGAAAUUAGAUUUUUCUCUAAAGUUGGAACAAAUCUAACCUCUUUGAGUUCUCUGACCAUUCCAUCAAUCAUUUUGAGCCGAAUUGUUCCUAUCCCCAUUGUGCGACAAGGUUGAUCAUUCCCCAUCACAACUGCACCGGAUUCCAAAUUACGAAAAUCAGUAAACCAUUCCUUAAUAGGACACAAAUGAUAGGUUGCUCCAAUAUAAAGUAUCCACUCGCUCGAACUAGCCACGUAUGCUACAAGAGUAAUACUUAGUGAAUAAUCAGAGCCCUCAUCUUUCCGUGCCAUGUUUGCUGCUGUUGGUUUCUUCCCAUCUCUCUUUUGAGCCUUUGGACAAUCUUUCCUCCAAUGGCCCUUUUCAUGACAAAAGGCACACUCAUCUCGAGCUAUAUUUCUGCUUCUCGAUUUAGAUCGAGAAUUCUUUCCACCACGCUUCUUCUGUUUCUCCAUCGCCCAAUCUCUGCUCACCAAAGCUUUAGACGAUGCUCGUUCAGAAUUUUUAUCAUUAUUCCGAAUCUCUAAGCUAGUCAAUGUUGUGCAAACAUAUUUAUAGACGAUCACACUCUUUCCAUAUAUCAAGGUAGUCACAAAAUGGCUAUAUUCCUCUGGUAGUGAGUGUAACUGAAUCAUAUCCUUGACUUCAUCCUUAAUAUCUUCAUCAAGAUUCUUCAAAUCAACAAGUAACUUUCAAUCUUGAGACAUGAUCGUGCAUUGACACCCCAGACUUCAUUCGAAAGCCAUAUACUUGGCUCAUUGCAUGAAGACAAUUUUCAGGACUUUUCAGCAAGUACUUCUCCUCCAAUGUACACCACAAAGUCACCGCACACUCCUCAUCUUUCACAAAGUAUUUCACCUCCUUGGUCAAACAAGAUUUGAUCUGACCACAAGUUUUCUCAUUCAUACGAUCCCAAAUUUCUUCAUCAUACAAGUGUCUUUUAUUUUUCAGAACAACAUCAUGAUCGAUUUGAAUAAGGACAUCUAUAACUUCGCGCCUCCACAUGCCGAAGUUGAUUUUCCUAUCAAAUUUUUCAACAUCGAUCUUUUGACCUCCUAUAACGUGUGCUGAAUAACGAUUUGACAAAUCUCGCCUCUCACCUGAAGUGUCUCUUGAAAUAGUCUCGGUAGAUCUCUCCCCAAUUCUGCAAGUUUCACCUUCUACAAUUUUCUCAACGAACUAUUUCCACUUGAAAAAACAGCCUCUAUGAUGUUAAUUUCGCGUGAAUAAAUGCACCAGGAAAGUUCUCAGGAAACUGGAUGGGAACUUGGUUCCAAUUAAAAACCAGAAUCCUUAGACUCUUAUCGCCUUUUUUGACAGAACUUUCCUAGACAUGCAAAAAUACACACUACUUACGAUAUACUGUCUCUCAAGUACAAAUGGUCGUCUCCACCGUAUUCGUGAACAGUACCGUAUACGUGAACAGUACCGUAUCCCCCAAGUACGAACCGUCGGCUCUGAUACCACUUGUUGUGCGCGGAAUGCGGAAUCAAGCGCACCAAACAAUUAUAGAAAAAUAAAGGACACAAGAAUUACGUGGUUCGGUAAUUAAACCUACAUCCACGGAGGCAAAAAAGAAUAAUUGUUUAUUUAACAAUUAAUAGAGUACAAUAUUUGAGUAACGAAUCUCACUUCCCAAAAACCCAAAUAUACCUAGUACUCUCACACUCUGCAGGAAAGAUAAAUUCCCCAGACACGCUUCUCUCACUUCUCUCAAAAACUUAGAACUUAUAAGCUUAACAAUUUUGGGAUACUAAACAAAUGAAGAAUGCUUAGCUAUUUAUAGGAAAAAUGUUGGCACUAUUCAUGAAACAAAUAUCAAGAAAAAAACCGCGUUCCAAACGCGUCCAAACCGCGUCCACACCACGUUCAAACCGUGUGCAAAAAAUCCACACGGAUUUGACUUGACUUUUCAACAAAUAACCCUGUUGGUGCAUGUAAUGGAGACCUUGAAAAACUUGGAAACACAAGUUUCUGACUUCAUCUUCAGAGAAAUUUUUACCCUCUCUUUCUUUCAUAAGUUUUAGAAGAUCAGAUUCCAUGUAGUCGAACACAAUGAAUACAUCUUCGUGUUUUUUGACAAGAUUCCUCAAUUUGACAAUGUUGGGACGAUUAUUCAUCUUCCUUAAGCAUUUAACUUCUUUCAAGUUCCUGCUCUCGUCCAAAGAAAAAAUCUUCUUCUUCAAUUUCUUGACAGCAACAUAAUCGCCGCUCCUUUUAUCAAGAGCCUGAAACACGUCGCCAUAAGCCCCCGGAUAAACUCCCUAAUCUUUUCGUAUUGCUCCAUUAUUUUUUAGUAUGAUAUAUGAAACGAAAUUUUUGUUUCUCUACGGAUAUUUAUAUGCGACAAUAACUUGCCGCAUUGAAUUAGGGAAUAAUUUCCUAUUCCCAUUACAUGUAAUGAUAAUGCCUUAAUUAAAUAGGAAACUAGUUUCCUAAAUGAAAUUAAUAUGGAACUCAGAAAAGGAAAUUUGUUUAAGAAGUGCACUAGGAAAAGGUUAUAUUAGUAACUUUCAACGUGUUCUUAAUUAUCUAAAAACAUCCAUUUUUUUGUUUUUUAUUUAACUAGAUAGGCUUGUCAAUUAGUAACUAAUGUAAUAUAAGUUAAGUAAAACAUCAAAUUUUAAUAUUUAACCAAUUAGGCCAUUUGAAAUCUAACAGUUUCUCCCAGUUAAUACUAUUUACUUUUCUUCGUUGUAGGCUAAUAAAACAAGAGAGAGACAAAAACCAAGUGUAAGUUGUAACAAAGAGGAAUGUAGCUAAUAUAUACAUUAUCAUAAGAAUGGGAGCUAGCUUUCAGAAAAUCACACUUCACGAAUACACGCUUUUACAACAAAAGGGUACGUAAAAUUAUCAGGUCUAAGCCCGUUUUUAGCAUUUCAUCAAACAGUUUGAUUGAUUCAAUCGAACAAGAAAGAGGAAUGUAGCUAAUAUAUACAUUAUCAUAAGAAUGGGAGCUAGCUUUCAGAAAAUCACACUUCACGAAUACACGCUUUUACAACAAAAGGGUACGUAAAAUUAUCAGGUCUAAGCCCGUUUUUAGCAUUUCAUCAAACAGUUUGAUUGAUUCAAUCGAACAAGAAAGAGGAAUGUAGCUAAUAUAUACAUUAUCAUAAGAAUGGGAGCUAGCUUUCAGAAAAUCACACUUCACGAAUACACGCUUUUACAACAAAAGGGUACGUAAAAUUAUCAGGUCUAAGCCCGUUUUUAGCAUUUCAUCAAACAGUUUGAUUGAUUCAAUCGAACAAGAGGCUUUUGCAUACGCUCUUAUAAGGGUAUUGUAAGCAAAACGUGGUGGCGUGACGGGCAAGUUAUUGAAUAGGGAUCUCGUAAAGUGGAGUGAGAUUGAAAGUGAAGUGAGAAUGAAGCGUGAGAUUAUGUACGUGUUGUGAUCGAGUGAUGUUUUGAGGAAUAGAGCGUGGCGUUGAUGAAGGUAGUGGGCGGUUUUUGACAGUUGGAUCAGGUUUUCAUUUUGGCGGGAAAUCAUGACCCCAAACUAAAGUUGAGAAAUAAAAGAAAAAACUACUAAUUUUUAAAUAUUAGAAACUUUUUAUGUCAGUUGUAAGUUGUAACAAUAUGACACCUGAAACAAAACCAUUUUCAUGGCAAUUGAAGUGUAAUAUCACAUUUUUUUCAAAUUCAAAAUUUCAACUAAAAUGUGGCUUGGCAUAGAGCUCUUUUGGGAUUGUUUUUGAGGCUCAAAAUUUUGUUUUUGAAAAGAUAAAAAUUAAUUUUGGUAUUUGGUAUUUUUUAAAAUAUUAUUUUUGGUAAAGUCACCUCAUUAUACGGUAGAUUAGAAAAAUAGAAAAUGAAUAGCUUUACACAACUGAUUUUGAUAAUCAGUUUUAUACUUAAACUCCCGUUGGAAUACAUUUUCAAAUAAAGUUUAUUUAAGUAAAACUUUUGUUGAUAGAGUUUUUACUAAUUUUAUUUAUUUGGUUGUCGAUGAAAGCUUUUAUUAAAAAUUAUGAAAUUCUUUUACAGGAAAGAAAAGGAAUGAAAUAAGAUUGUCAAAUAAAUAAAAAUAUUUUAAUAUUUAAAAAAAGCUUUUUAACCCUUAUUACUCCAAAAGUCCAAAAUUUGAACUUUGCUAGUAGAGGUAAAAUAACUUGUUUAAUCGACAAAAACUCUACUAAAAAAAUAAUCAAACAAUAAUAAAAAUUUUAAAAAUAACUUAUGAGAUUAGAUAAGUACUUAUGACCAUGAGAUAAAUCAUAUCAAACAGACACUUAUAACAAUUUCAUAUAUAUAUUCACAUAAAUUUUAUAUAUCCAAAAUUAUCCUUAUUCAAUUAAGAAAUAAAAUUAUUAAAUUUAAAGAGAUUAUUAUCAUUACCAAUUAUAUUAAGAAAACAAAAUAAAAAUUAAACUUAAUAAAAUAAAAAUAUUUAUUUUAUUUAUUAAUUAUCAUAUAUAUGUGUGUGUGUGUGCGCGCGCGCAAAUAAAUUUUAUUUAAAAUUAUGUCUAUUUUAAUAAUUUGUAUUCUAAUAAGAUUUACUAAAUACAUAUGACUGAUUUUUUAACUCACAAUAUUUUUUAAAAUAAUCUUUUACUAAAUAUUUAACUUCUACAACUGAUUAAUUUUACAGCACAAUUAUUAAUAAUUAUUUUAAAAGUUUUAACAUUGUUAAAUUGACCCAUAGUCGGUCCAACCCUAAAUUUGAGACAUAAAAAAUGUGAGGUACUUAUGGCGUAAAAAAUCUAUCACAAUCGUGCUGACAAUUUCUACCAUGGUCACAAAGUGCAACAAAACCUAAAUUAUCAUCCAAAGGAUCAAAGUAUUUUGAAGUCGUUGUUUAAUCUCUCACAUUUAUCAAUUGUAUGUCACCACCAUCAAUAUAUGCACGGGUCCGUACUAUAUGAUGACUCUAUAUGCACAUAUAUUUUUGAGCUGAACUGACAAAUUUUCUCACUCAAUUUCAAUGAGUAUUCAGAACAUCAAGGGAGAGAACCCAAAUCAUUGAAGAGGUGGAAGAUACGAAGGGCUUUCUUGGCAUAGCAAGACAAUUUAACCAGUGAAAAUAGACAAAUUUAAAAUAGGAAUCUAGCACAUGAGUCGGGGCCCGGGUUUAAUAAAAGAAUUGUCUACUUGUUGCUAAAUGUUUUUAAUUAAAUUGGGUCACCUAACCUCGACAUAAAUUUUGGACUGAUUUGUGGCCUAUUGAAUUGUUUGAGCACGAUCAUCUAGUUGCUAAUUUUUUGCUUUAUUGAAAAAUUAAAAUGAAAACAACUUAUUCAAUUUUAUAAGAAAGCAACUCGGUUUUGUUGUAUUAAAAAAAGACUCUUGACUAAUUCUCCGGAGGGGAUUAGAUAUUAGUUAUGUAAUAAUAUGUAUGAGACUUUUAUUCCCGCUCUGUUUGUCCUAGUCUUUACUAGGCUCCACUAUAUUAAAAAAAAGAAAAGAAAGACUCUUGACCGCUUAUCACUUUGUCCGAAGAUUGCACAAUUGGUUGGAAUUAUUAUAUUCCUCGGUCAAGGAUCAUGCGAGCAAAGCGCACGUUUAAAAAAUCCAAUGGGCAUUCUCAAAAAAAAAAAAAAAAAAAAUCAGCACACAAAUUAUUUCUUAUUACGAGAGUAAGGUCUUUUAAUAAAAAGUAAUUAUCCAUCCAUCACCUCUUUUUUUGUGUUUUCUUUUUAAAUACACAUUUUUUUGCUGAAUUUUAUUUGAAAAUACAUUGUCUUACACCCGUCUAUUGCCGUCUUAAUUUUGUUAAUAGAAUUAACAGAAUAUUGAUCAAAUGACUUUUUUACCCACAAACAUAAAAUUAUUAUUUUACUCUAAAUAAAUGCCAAAAAAAUAAAUUAAAAAGGCACUAAUAAAUAUAAAUUGAAAGUAGUGAAGUAUGAUAAGAUAUAGGAUGCGUUUAAAAUUGAGAUUGAGCAGUUGUAUCUUAAAAACUACAGUAUUAAAGUGUUUGGUAAACACUAAUUACUGCAGUUUCGAAGAUAUAUUGAUAUGAUUUUUCACUUGUGAAAUAGAAAAUUUAUUAUAUCUUUAAUAAUUUUGUCAAAAUUAUUGUUUAAAAUUUAUAUUUACUAUAUAUUAUUAUUAUUUUUAUAAUUAAAAUUUUUUUAACAACACCUCAAUUCUAAACAGGACCAUAAUCAAAUUCAACACCAAUCAAUAUCCAACCAAUAAUUAUUGUAAAACAUAAAACAUAAAACUACUUCAAUUAAAUAAUGAUGGGGAUUAAAAUUUAAAAAGCUUAUACUUAAUCAUCACCAUCUGGAUCAACACCCUCAAAAGUCCACUCACACACACUCCUUCCUGGCUGUUUCCUCCUCCUCGGGCGUAAAAUUAUUUUCAAUCCCAAGUAACUUCCUGACAUAUACUCGACACUCUUGUUCUUGAUCCUUUUUGGCCAAAGCCUCUGUCAGAUAAUCCAACAUCUUUUUAUUAUCAACGGUCAUCACUGCUCAUCAAUACCAUACGUUGGUAUUGUUGCUAAUCUACAAGCCUAUUCCAAAUCACCAUGGCACAAGUGGAAGGCAACAUUGAGGCAAAAUUAUUUCAACAUUUCGUGGGCAUCUAUCUCCGUCGUUGCAGUGGUUGUUGUCCUUUGACCCACGUUCACACAAACAGUUUGUUUAAGUACCUUUAAUCAUUAAUUCUGGAAAUGAGUUAGCUGUGCAGAUUGUUUUCGGUUAUUAAUUGUUUCUAAUGCUGGAAAUGAGGAAUUUCCAUCUUAAGCAUUGCCAUACAUUUUCAAUUGUUGCAGGUUGAGAUUACUAGCAGAAUCCAAAGGAUACCGACUUGAUGAUACAGGGCUGUUUCCAGCUACUCAUGGCUCAGGCGAUAAACAGGUUAUCAGCUGGAUUUCAGAAUCAUCUCGUUGCUGGAACUUCGUUUCCUUGUUCAUUAAAAAGCUCAGCUAUGUGAAUUUUACUGCAGGGUGUAAGGGCGAGAACAAGUUUGAAAUUUGAUACUGAGAAGGAGGUGUUUGAUUUCCUGGGAUUUCCUUGGCUAGAACCUCAUGAAAGAAAUUUGUGAAACAUGUGCAGUGUGUUUAGCAGUAAGAUGAUGCUGUAGAUAGGCACGCAUCAAAGAGUAGGCUGUACUUAGGAGGCUGUCAACAGACAUAUGUUUGGUACUAAUUAUACCGUAAAGUGUGCUGGUGGUCAUGGUGACAGGCCUUGGGUUUGAUGCUCGACUUAAGUUAUCAGACUUUAUGUUUAUUGAAUGUAUAUAUUUUUGGUGUAAAAAUUCUGUAUUAUUAUAAAAUUUUUAUCCUAAACAUUUCUCUGUGUAAUUUAAAUUACUUUACUGCAGAUUUAGGAAUAUUAGAAAAAUUGACUGACGUUCUUGCCUUUUCGGGGAUGGUUCUCUUUGAAUGAACGAAGCUUUUAGCACUAUACGUAUGUAUAUUUAUCUAUUUUGAUUUUUGGGAUUCGAAAGGUAAAUUUUAGUUGCUCAUAUAUUGAAUGUAAACAACAAGCUUGACUUAUAUAACACUAAUAAAUAUAAAUUGAAAGUAAUGAAGUGUGAUCAGAUAUAGGAUGCGUUUAAAAUUGAGAUUGGGCAGUUGUAUCUAAAAAACUACAGUAUUAAAGUGUUUGGUAAACAUUAAUUACUGUAGUUUCGAAGACAUAUUGAUAUAAUUUUUCACUUGUGAAAUAGAAAAUUUAUUAUAUCUUUAAUAAUUUUGUCAAAAUUAUUAUUUAAAACCUGUAUUUACUACAUAUUAUUAAAAAAAUUUAUAAUUACAAUUUUUUUUAACAGCACCUCAAUUCUAAACAGGACCAUAAUCAAAUUCAACACCAAUCAAUAUCCAACCAGUAAUUAUUGUAAAACAUAAAACAUAAAACUACUUCAAUUAAAUAAUGAUGGGGAUUAAAAUUUAAAAAGCUUAUACUUAAUCAUCACCAUCUGGAUCAACACCCUCAAAAGUCCACUCACACACUCCUUCCUGGCUGUUUCCUCCUCCUCGGGCGUAAAAUUAUUUUCAAUCCCAAGUAACUUCCUGACAUAUACUCGACACUCUUGUUCUUGAUCCUUUUUGGCCAAAGCCUCUGUCAGAUAAUCCAACAUCUUUUUAUUAUCAACGGUCAUCACUGCUCAUCAAUACCAUACUCUGGUAUUGUUGCUAAUCUACAAGCCUAUUCCAAAUCACCAUGGCACAAGUGGAAGGCAACAUUGAGGCAAAAUUAUUUCAACAUUUCGUGGGCAUCUAUCUCCGUCGUUGCAGUGGUUGUUGUCCUUUGACCCACGUUCACACAAACAGUUUGUUUAAGUACCUUUAAUCAUUAAUUCUGGAAAUGAGUUAGCUGUGCAGAUUGUUUUCGGUUAUUAAUUGUUUCUAAUGCUGUCAUCUAAAUAUACUGAUAAUUUCAUUUAUUUUAAUUUAUUGCUAUUGCAGUUGAUUUCUGUACUUACUGUCGUUGUUUUCACUCACCUUUCUAAUUACAUAAUAAUAGAAAUUUGAUAAUUUUACUAAUUUAUCGGAAUAAAGAGACAGACUAAUUUAUUUAUUGUCUGCGUGUCACCUCAAUUUUAGAAUGCGUCACCUAGCUAACGUCAAUAAUGGAGAAAGGCAGAAGAAAUAGAAAAGCAAUAUUGUAAAAGUUUGAUGCAUUCAAUUAAAGGAAAUAGCAAAAGAAAGAUAAAUAAGCAAAUAUGUUAAUAAAAUAACUAAACCAGAUAAUUGAAUAAACCAGUAUGUGUAUUGAUUCUAGAUUAGCAAGAGAUAUACCUUAAUUUUUUUAAUCAUGAAUUAGUUGCUUUAGCGUGAAAGUUUAAUCAAAGUCAAAAUUUUUAUUGUGAAAUUGCAGAGUACUUUCCAACCUGGACAAAUUGUCUACGGUAAAGCCCCAAGUCAAGUCAAGUCAAGCAAAGCACAUAAUGAUAAUACACGUAUAUACGAAGCCAUGCGGAUUGACGAAAUUGAAGCCAUAGUUGAUGGGCUGUAAUCGUUAAUUUCUUGGCCAUUAUUUUGCUAUAAAUAGAAGUGCAGAUGAAGAGCUGAAGUAUUCCAUUGAGAGAGAAGCAAUUUAGCAUUUUAGAGAGAGAAUUUAGAGAGCUUGAAAUUAUAAGCUCUUGUUAUAGUGAUUUGAGAGAUUGAGUGUAUUGCGGUUUUGGGUAGUGAUCUAAAAUAUCCCAAUACUUGUAAUUCAUUUUCACUAGUAAAAUAUUUUUUUUCUAUCUUCGCCCGUGAACGUAAGUUAAAAGUCGAACCACGUAAUUUUUGGUAUCCCUGUGUGAUUCUAUUGUCUCAUUAUUUUUCAAUUUCACUUUAGUUACAUGUCUACUUCACCCAUUAAUUUCCCAACAAGUUGUUCUUCUUGUUCUUCCUUUUUCUUUUUUUUCAAGAUACAUAUUCUUAUAUUUUCCUUUAAUCAUUAAUUCUGGAAAUGAGUUAUCUCUGCAGAUUAUUUUCGGUUGUUAAUUGUUUUUGAUGCAGUUAUCUAAAUUAAUUUCUUCUUGUUCUUCCUUUUUCUUUUUUUUUUUCCUAAUAUUGAUGUUUCGAGAUACAUAUUCUUAUAUUUUCCUUUAAUCAUUAAUUCUGGAAAUGAGUUAGCUCUGCAGAUUAUUUUCGGUUGUUAAUUGUUUUUGAUGCAGUUAUCUAAAUUAUCUGAAUAAUUUCAUUUAUUUUAAUUUGUUGCUGCUGCAGCGAGCAAUAUUUUAGUAGAAGAUGGAUGUAUCGAUUGAUAUGAAGAAGUUAGCCGAUUCUUUGAGUUGGAAGUUGGAGACCCUGCCUCCCUUGUCUAAAGAUUGUUCCAUCUAUAGAGUUGCUGAGCCCACGCGGUGCUCAAAUCCAAGGCAUUUUACUCCGCGAAUGGUUUCAAUUGGCCCUUUUCAUCAUGGUAAGGAAGAGCUAAAACCCAUGGAAGAGCAUAAACAGAGGUACCUAAAAUACUUUCUUCAACGGACUAAGGUGAGCAUGGUAAGUUUCCUCACUUUUAUAAAGAAAAGGGAAACAAAACUGCGCAAUUGUUAUGCAGAAACCAUUCGUAAUCUUGGUAGUGAUGAGUUCGUAGCGAUGGUUUUAGCGGAUGCUGGCUUUCUCAUUGAGUUCUUUAUGAGAUAUUAUAAACCUCGUCUCAUAACCGAUGAUGAUCGCAUUUUUAGAAAACCCCAAUGGCAUAAGGAAAUAUGGCACGACUUUUUGCUGGUAGAAAAUCAGCUUCCAUUAUUCAUUCUCAAAGACUUGUUUGAUCAAGCCAAAAUAACAGCCCGUGAAGAUGCCUUUUACGAGAAUAUUUCCUUUGUCAAAAUUACAUGUUUUUGGUUCGGGGAUCAAGUACUUGGAUUUCUUCCACUGGACGAGAAUUUGCUAGAAAUCCACUUUUCCAAAGCUGAGCAUUUUCUUGAUCUGAUUAUACUCUCUCUUCAGCCAUCCCAGCCACGUGCUCAAAUUAUAAUAAAAGAUCAAAACAUACCCAGUGUGAAGGAACUUCACCAAGCCGGAGUCAAGUUUAAACCAGCUGCCGGGUCAACCAAAAAUCUACUCGACAUCAAUUUUAAUCAAGGAAUUCUGGAAAUUCCAUUUUUCAAGGUGUUGGAUACCACAGAGCUUGUGUUCAGAAAUCUUCUAGCCUUCGAAAGCAUGCAUGGCUACAACGGAUAUUUUAAUGAUUACAUUAUAAUGAUGGCUUGUCUCAUCAGCUGUCCGAAAGAUGCAGAAUUACUCGUUCAAAAUGAUGUUAUUAGGCUAGGGAAUACUGAAACUGUUCCAACGGUUUUUGGAAACCUUGGUCGCGACUGUACGUUAUAUAGUGAUGAUUUCCAAUAUUCUGGUGUUGUCACUAAUUUACAGGCCUAUCGCAAGUUACCAUGGCACAAAUGGAAGGCAACCUUGAAGCAAAAUUAUUUCAACACUCCAUGGGCUUCUAUCUCUGUAAUUGCAGCUGUUAUUCUCCUUCUACUCACAGCCACGCAAACAGUUUCUUCUCUAAUUGCAUUGUAGAUUUAUUAA